AGAAGAAAAAGCACUAGAAGAAAUGUGGAACAUGGCCCUAAACAACAACAUCACUUUCUGCGCAUACUGCUCCAACAGUUCAUUUGAUCCUAAUAACUAUGAGACUGUAGAUUCAGACCGUGAACCAAUGGAAUGGAAACAUAAAUGCUAGUGUAACAAUCAGAAGAUCCAUGAAGUUCAGACCUCACGGACCUGAAGGCAAGAACCAUUUUCCUCAACGACACCAGUUACCCUUAUGCUGCUUCUAAUGUUUUAGUAGUGUUAAAAAGUACUCUAUAAUCCUUUAGAUUCAGCUAUCAUCG